rnacentral:tRNA from 1 species
ACCUGGCUGGCUCAGCGGGCAGAGCAUGGGACUCUUGAUCUUGGAGUUGUGAGUUUGAACCCCACGUUGGAUA